GGUCAAGUUAUUAAGGGCUUACGGUGGAUGCCUUGGGACCAAGGGCCGAUGAAGGGCGCGGUAAGGCUGCGAUAAGCCUCGAUGAGCCGUCUAACAGGCAUAGUCGAGGGUUCCCGAAUGGGGAAACCUGUUCCGGUGUUGAGCCGGUUCAUCCCGAUGCAAAUCGGGAGGGUAAGCGGGGGAACUGAAACAUCUAAGUACCCCGAGGAAAAUAAAUCAACCGAGAUUCCCUGAGUAGUGGCGAACGAAAGGGGAAUAGCCCAAACCAGUACGACUUAGUGGCAUGAGGGCCUAUGUCGUAUCGGGGUUGUAGGGAGCACCUUGGGUCACCUCAUUAGACCUGAAGGAGUUACAAAUCUCGUCUCUAGCCGAAGGCGCCUGGGAAGGACCGUCAUAGAGGGUGAAAGCCCCGUAGGCGAAAGAGUCGAGACUCCUGGUGCCCACCCUGAGUACCACGGGGCACGUGAAACCUUGUGGGAAGCUGGGGGGACCACCCUCCAAGGCUAAAUACCCUUGGUCACCGAUAGCGUACCAGUACCGUGAGGGAAAGGUGAAAAGAACCCCUAGCGGGGAGUGAAAUAGAUCUGAAACCGUAAGCCUACAGAAGGUCGUAGCCCUGACUUCGGUCGGGGUGGCGGCGUGCCUAUUGAAGAAUGAUCCGGGGACUUACUGUAUGGAGCGAGGUUAAGGGACUGGAGUCCCGGAGCCGUAGCGAAAGCGAGUCUGAAUAGGGCGGCUAGUUCCAUGUAGUAGACUCGAAACCGGGUGAGCUACCCAUGGCCAGGUUGAAGGUUCGUUAACGCGCACUGGAGGACCGAACUCGUGGCUAGUACAAAAGCUUGGGAUGAGCUGUGGGUAGAGGUGAAAUGCCAAUCGAACUCGGAAAUAGCUAGUUCUCCCCGAAAUGCAUUUAGGUGCAGCCUCGGGCACAGGUGGACGGAGGUAGGGCACUGAAUGGGCUAGGGGGCGUGAGCUUACCAAACCCAAUCAAACCACCAAUGCCGUCCAACCGAUACCCGGGAGUGAGACUGCCACAGAUAAGUGCGGUAGUCGAAAGGGAAACAGCCCAGACCACCGGCUAAGGCCCCUAAGUUCAAGCUAAGUGGGAAAGGAAGUGAGGUUCCUCAGACAACCAGGAGGUUGGCUUAGAAGCAGCCAUCCUUUGAAGAGUGCGUAACAGCUCACUGGUCGAGGAGUCUGGCGCCGAAAAUGUAACGGGGCUUAAGUUUGACGCCGAAGCCGUGGAUGUUCAGGUGCAAGGGUAAAGAUCCCACCCCCAAAGGUGGAGCCAAUAGGGAAACCCGCAAUAGGGAAACCCGGCAACGGGCAACCUGACGGUGGGGGAACCUGGCGGCAAAGCCGGCGGGAGAGGGAUUGGAGCCUUUGGAGAACGCCUGGGCGUGGUAGGGGAGCGUUCCUCGGGCAACGAAGGUGAGCCGUGAGGUUCACUGGAGCGCGGGGAAGUGAGAAUCCCGGAAUGAGUAGCGUAAACUAGGGUGAAAAUCCCUGGCGCCGAAAGCCCAAGGUUUCCUACGCAACGUUUAUCGGCGUAGGGUUAGUCGGUCCUAAGCCGUAGGCAAGCGCCGAAGGCGAUGGACAGCAGGUUAAUAUUCCUGCACCGCCGUUGUUUCGCUUUAAAACCAAGGAGGGGUGCGGAAGGGUAGGUAGAGCAUGCCUAUUGGACAUGGUGUGUCCUCAACUGUAGGCGAGUCGGGGCAGGUAAAUCCACUCCGGCGUUAAGCAGAGGGUUGAGGGAAUCGAGCCUUCGGGCUACGAAACUCUGUUGAACCCAAACCGACUAGAAAAGCUUCGUGGUUAUGGAGCAAUGGCGACCGUACCGGAAACCGCCACUGGUGGGCAAGGAUAAAAGUCCUAAGGCGUUCGAGCUAACCUCCGCUAAGGAACUAGACAAAAGAGCCCUGUAACUUUGGGAGAAAGGGCCCCCCGGGGGGUGAAGCCACUAGCUGGUGGAGCGUUCUGGGGGCGCAGAGAAGAAGGCCGGGCGACUGUUUAACAAAAACACAGGUCUGUGCUAAGGGGAAACCCUACGUAUACAGGCUGACGCCUGCCCAGUGCCGGAAGGUUAAGGGGAGUGGUGCAAGCCGCGAACUGAAGCCCCGGUGAACGGCGGCCGUAACUCUAACGGUCAACCGAACGGUCCAACCAGGCCUUGGGCGCAAGCCCUCGGCUCGGAGGCUGUUUAAGGCCGUUGUAAAAUCUGGCUAUAUGCUGGGAAACCCGAGUAUCCGGCGCUACCCGUUGAUCGAAUCUGGGUCAAUUGGUGACAAUGCGUCCGGUGCGGACAAUCAGCAGGAAAGACCAUGGAGGAAAUCCCCGCGCCACGUUCCGGACUCUGUCAAGGAAUGGUCCAUGGACGGGGUGGAACUUCACGGAAUCCUCAGAGACCAUACGCCAGACCCGCUGUCGGAACGUGCGGGAAGAUAUGGUCCGAUCUGUGUGGCGACAUGCAGAGGGCGGCAGAAAUGACCGUCCCCUCCGGUACUCAGCCAAACAGGCAACUGUCUGACCGGGAAUCGGGGAGUAACAAAUUGCCUAAGGUAGCGAAGUCCCUUGUCGGGUAAGUUCCGACCCGCAUGAAUGGUUGAACGACUUGGCCAUUGUCUCGGCGGAGGGCUCGGUGAAAUUGCGGUGCCCGUGAAGACGCGGGCGACCUGCGGCAGGACAAAAAGACCCUGUGGAGCUUUACUGUAGCCUGGUAUUGGUCUGGGAGCCGUCAUGUGUAGGAUAGGUGGGAGGCUAUGAUGCCCCGACGCCAGUCGGGGCGGAGCCGCCGUUGAAAUACCACCCUUGGCUGUUUUUGGUCCUAACCUCAGCGCAACUGAGGGACAGUGCCUGGUGGGCAGUUUAACUGGGGCGGUUGCCUCCUAAAAUGUAACGGAGGCGUCCAAAGGUUCCCUCAGGACGGAUGGAAAUCGUCCAUAGAACGCAUUGGCAUAAGGGAGCUUGACUGCGAGACCUACAAGUCGAGCAGGGACGAAAGUCGGGCAAAGUGAUCCUACGGCACCGUGUGGAAGGGCCGUGGCUUAUCGGAUAAAAGCUACCCCGGGGAUAACAGGCUUAUCUCGCCCAAGAGUUCACAUCGACGGCGAGGUUUGGCACCUCGAUGUCGGCUCGUCCCAUCCUGGGGCUGAAGGCGGUCCCAAGGGUCCGGCUGUUCGCCGGUUAAAGGGGUACGUGAGUUGGGUUCAGAACGUCGUGAGACAGUUCGGUCUCUAUCCGCCGUGGGCGCAGGAGGCUUGAGGGAACCUCUCCCUAGUACGAGAGGACCGGGAGGGACAGACCUAUGGUGUUCCAGUUGUUCCGCCAGGAGCAGCGCUGGGUAGCCAUGUCUGGCAGUGAUAAGCGCUGAAGGCAUCUAAGCGCGAAGCUGCCCCCAAGAUGAGGCCUCCCUCCCCGAUUAACUUCGGGGGUAAGACUGCAGAGAGACUAUCUGCUUGAUAGGCCGGAUGUGUAAGGAGUGUAAGCUCUUCAGCAAACCGGUACUAACCAGUCGAGAGGCUUGACCCA
rnacentral:rRNA from 1 species